CGCAACGCGAAGAACCUUACCAGGGCUUGACAUAUACAUGAAAGUCUAAGAGAUUAGACCCCUCUUCGGAGCGUGUAUACAGGUGGUGCAUGGUUGUCGUCAGCUCGUGUCGUGAGAUGUUGGGUUAAGUCCCGCAACGAGCGCAACCCCUGUUCUUAGUUGCCAGCACGUAAAGGUGGGAACUCUAAGAAGACUGCCGGUGAUAAAUCGGAGGAAGGUGGGGACGACGUCAAAUCAUCAUGCCCUUUAUGUCCUGGGCUACACACGUACUACAAUGGCUGUAACAGAGGGAAGCGAAGCCGCGAGGUGGAGCAAAACCCAAAAAAGCAGUCUCAGUUCGGAUUGAAGGCUGAAAUUCGCCUUCAUGAAGCCGGAAUUGCUAGUAAUGGCAGGUCAGCAUACUGCCGUGAAUACGUUCCCGGGCCUUGUACACACCGCCCGUCACACCAUGAGAGUUGGGAAUACCCGAAGCCUGUGAGCUAACUAUAUAGAGGCAGCAGUCGAAGGUAGAAUCAAUGAUUGGGGUGAAG
rnacentral:rRNA from 1 species